GCGGGCGUGGCGGAACUGGUAGACGCGCCAGGUUUAGGUCCUGGUAGAGCAAUCUGUGGGGGUUCGAGUCCCUUCGCCCGUACCA
rnacentral:tRNA from 1 species